rnacentral:rRNA from 1 species
UACAGAGGGUGCAAGCGUUAAUCGGAAUUACUGGGCGUAAAGCGCGCGUAGGUGGUUUGUUAAGUUGGAUGUGAAAUCCCCGGGCUCAACCUGGGAACUGCAUCCAAAACUGGCAAGCUAGAGUAUGGUAGAGGGUGGUGGAAUUUCCUGUGUAGCGGUGAAAUGCGUAGAGAUGUGGAGGAACACCGAUGGCGAAGGCAGCCCCCUGGGUCAAGAUUGACGCUCAUGCACGAAAGCGUGGGGAGCAAACAGG